UACGUAGGGGGCAAGCGUUUGUCCGGAUUUAUUGGGCGUAAAGGGCGCGUAGGCGGCCAGCACAAGUCAGUUGUGAAAUCUCCGAGCUUAACUCGGAAAGGUCAACUGAUACUGUGCGGCUAGAGUGCGGAAGGGGCAACUGGAAUUCUUGGUGUAGCGGUGAAAUGCGUAGAUAUCAAGAGGAACACCUGCGGCGAAGGCGGGUUGCUGGGCCGACACUGACGCUGAUGCGCGAAAGCUAGGGGAGCGAACGGG
rnacentral:rRNA from 1 species